AAUCAACGCUGGCGGCGUGCCUAACACAUGCAAGUCGCACGAGAAAGGGACUUCGGUCCUGAGUACAGUGGCGCACGGGUGAGUAACACGUGAAUAAUCUACCUCCGAGUGGGGAAUAACCUAGAGAAAUCUGGGCUAAUACCGCAUAACACUUACGAGUCAAAGCAGCAAUGCGCUUGGAGAGGAGUUCGCGGCAGAUUAGUUAGUUGGCAGGGUAAUGGCCACCAAGACGAUGAUCUGUAUCCGGCCUGAGAGGGCGCACGGACACACUGGAACUGAAACACGGUCCAGACUCCUACGGGAGGCAGCAGUGGGGAAUUUUGCGCAAGUGGGGGAAACCCUGACGCAGCAACGCCGCGUGGAGGAU
rnacentral:rRNA from 1 species